GGUGACUACACAUGCAGUCGAGCGAGAACUUCGGUUCUAGCGGCGGACGGGUUAGUAACGCGUGGGAACGUGCCCUUCACUACGGAAUAGUCCCGGGAAACUGGGUUUAAUACCGUAUACGCCCUUCGGGGGAAAGAAUUUCGGUGAAGGAUCGGCCCGCGUUAGAUUAGAUAGUUGGUGGGGUAACGGCCUACCAAGUCUACGAUCUAUAGCUGGUUUUAGAGGAUGAUCAGCAACACUGGGACUGAGACACGGCCCAGACUCCUACGGGAGGCAGCAGUGGGGAAUCUUAGACAAUGGGCGCAAGCCUGAUCUAGCCAUGCCGCGUGAGUGAUGAAGGCCUUAGGGUCGUAAAGCUCUUUCGCCAGGGAUGAUAAUGACAGUACCUGGUAAAGAAACCCCGGCUAACUCCGUGCCAGCAGCCGCGGUAAUACGGAGGGGGUUAGCGUUGUUCGGAAUUACUGGGCGUAAAGCGCGCGUAGGCGGAUUGGAAAGUUGGGGGUGAAAUCCCAGGGCUCAACCCUGGAACUGCCUCCAAAACUAUCAGUCUAGAGUUCGAGAGAGGUGAGUGGAACUCCGAGUGUAGAGGUGAAAUUCGUAGAUAUUCGGAAGAACACCAGUGGCGAAGGCGGCUCACUGGCUCGAUACUGACGCUGAGGUGCGAAAGUGUGGGGAGCAAACAGGAUUAGAUACCCUGGUAGUCCACACCG
rnacentral:rRNA from 1 species